GCGGACAGAUGGGAGCUUGCUCCCUGAUGUUAGCGGCGGACGGGUGAGUAACACGUGUGUAACCUGCCUGUAUGACUGGGAUAACUCCGGGAAACCGGGGCUAAUACCGGAUGCUUGUUUGAACCGCAUGGUUCAGACAUAAAAGGUGGCUUCGGCUACCACUUACAGAUGGACCCGCGGCGCAUUAGCUAGUUGGUGAGGUAACGGCUCACCAAGGCAACGAUGCGUAGCCGAACUGAGAGGGUGAUCGGCCACACUGGGACUGAAACCCGGCCCAGACUCCUACGGGAGGCAGCAGUAGGGAAUCUUCCGCAAUGGACGAAAGUCUGACGGAGCAACGCCGCGUGAGUGAUGAAGGUUUUCGGAUCGUAAAGCUCUGGUGAUAAGGAAGAACAAGUGCCGUUCAAAUAGGGCGGCACCUUGACGGUACCUAACCAGAAAGCCACGGCUAACUACGUGCCAGCAGCCGCGGUAAUACGUAGGUGGCAAGCGUUGUCCGGAAUUAUUGGGCGUAAAGGGCUCGCAGGCGGUUUCUUAAGUCUGAUGUGAAAGCCCCCGGCUCAACCGGGGAGGGUCAUUGGAAACUGGGGAACUUGAGUGCAGAAGAGGAGAGUGGAAUUCCACGUGUAGCGGUGAAAUGCGUAGAGAUGUGGAGGAACACCAGUGGCGAAGGCGACUUUCUGGUCUGUAACUGACGCUGAGGAGCGAAAGCGUGG
rnacentral:rRNA from 1 species